UAUUCUUGGCAGUGGAUCACUUGGCUUGUGCAUCGAUGAAGGACGUAGCUAACUGCGAGAACUAAUGUGAAUUGCAGUACAUAUUGAUCAUCAACACUUAAUGAACCUUUCAGCCCUAUUGGAGGCUGAUGUCACAGUGUCU
rnacentral:rRNA from 1 species